GGGUGGUAAUGCCGGAUGCUCCGGUUGGAUGCAUGUCCUUCCGGGAAAGAUUCCAUCGGUAUGGGAUGGGGUCGCGUCCUAUCAGCUUGAUGGCGGGGUAACGGCCCACCAUGGCUUCGACGGGUAGCCGGCCUGAGAGGGCGACCGGCCACAUUGGGACUGAGAUACGGCCCAGACUCCUACGGGAGGCAGCAGUGGGGAAUAUUGCACAAUGGGCGCAAGCCUGAUGCAGCGACGCCGCGUGCGGGAUGGAGGCCUUCGGGUUGUAAACCGCUUUUGAUCGGGAGCAAGCCCUUCGGGGUGAGUGUACCCUUCGAAUAAGCACCGGCUAACUACGUGCCAGCAGCCGCGGUAAUACGUAGGGUGCAAGCGUUAUCCGGAAUUAUUGGGCGUAAAGGGCUCGUAGGCGGUUCGUCGCGUCCGGUGUGAAAGCCCAUCGCUUAACGGUGGGUCUGCGCCGGGUACGGGCGGGCUGGAGUGCGGUAGGGGAGACUGGAAUUCCCGGUGUAACGGUGGAAUGUGUAGAUAUCGGAAAGAACACCA
rnacentral:rRNA from 1 species